UUAAGAGCUUUGCUUGAGAAGACUCAUGGUUUUACAAUGCAUGUAAAACUUGCAACAAAAAGGUUCUUACGAACACUAUUUGCAAGGACAAGGAAGAUGGAAGUCAAGGAUAUGAUGAAGUAACUGUCUUGGAGUGCCAAACUGAUCGGUGCAAUAAAAGAACUGUUGUGUCUGUUCCCAGGAUAAAAGUUCUAAUACGUGUUUAGGAUUGUACCGGGAUUGUUACUUUGACGUUGUUUGAACGUGAAGUUGUUAAACUGAUAAAGGUUAACGCAAACCAGCUGUUGGAUAAAAACAUGGAGUUAGCCAGCGAAGGUAACUUUUCCAAGGAGCUGAAGGAAUUGCUAAAUAGGAGGUUUGCGUUUAAGAUAGCCAUAGGUUCGUUUAACAUAAAAAAACAAAUCAGAUGGCUACUCAGUGUCGAAGUUGAUUGAAAAUCCUGCAAUCAUCAAAGAUCUUGAUAGGCAUUUUGAUGCU